UUAACAAAAGAAAAAUAAAUGAAAGAGGGAAAUUAGGGUUUCCCAUGUGGCUAUUCAGCUUUUCUCGUGAAAACUCAGGGUUCUCUCCCUCAAACUCACAAACGGCGUACGGCGGUAAGCUCCGCUCUGAUCUCGUUGACGCGACGGCGAUGGCACAAUCCGUCUUCUCCGAUCGCCGCGAACUAAACCAACAAAACCUCCUCCUAUCUCUGCCUCUUACCACUAAGUUUCGUAAAGCUUCGAAUUCGGAACUAAGAGGCUCGAUUUCAUUCAAUUGGAAGCGAGGAAUGGAAAGGAGCACGCACAUUAACCAUUGAAGCGAGUAAGAGCACUUACCUGUGGUGAAGAACCGGUGUGAAGUGAAGAGAAAAACCAGAGACAGGGAUCCGAUCGACAAUUGGCGAAAUAAACGCGGAAAGCUGAAGAAAUUCUUCAAGUCUGUUGAAUUUGUUUAUGAUCGUUUCAUAGCCUUCUUCCAUCAUGCUAACAUUUGGGGCUGAUUCGGAUGCAUCAGUAUCGUCGCGGCCAAAAAGAUCAGAUGUCGUCAUGAUAUGUCGGGUCCUUCUAUCAACACAAACAUUCUGAAUUGUUAUUGGAUUCUGCCAUGAACCGAUACAGCUGGAGUUGUUCGCGGUGCAGGGACAUCAUGAACUUAAAGGGAACACUUGAGAGAUUCAUCGCCCAAAGGAGAUCCUACUCGAUCUUUCCCUGUUCUGAGGCAGCAGCACUUCCAUUUAUAUAUAUUUUUUUGAUGUAAUUUCAGUUUCUUUCUCUUUUCAAUGUACAUGUACUUGGAUGAACCCCUUGAGAAUGUAUUAUAUUUGAAACAUGUAGUGAGACUUGAGCUUGAACCAUGUAAUGUUCCUUUUCUUCAGAAUGAAUUUUGACUUUGGUGUCAUUUACUUCUCUCAAUGCAUGAACGCGAAAAAAAGAAUCGCACUUUAAUCUUCAAAUUGACAGUUGACCCAAAAUCUUGCAAUAGAAGAAGCGAACUUUGACCAAUGGUUUGUUAUACAAAUAAUCCAAUAUUCCAACUUCAAAUGAUUGUAAGAAUCAUAUGACUCAAAUUUCAAAUGAGGAUGAGACCAAAUGGGACCCUAAGGUUGGAAUGUACCACCCCAAGGUCACAUAAACCUGACAAACGAAUCCAUGCUUGGGAAAUAAAUUUCAAUUCAGUGAGACUCUUGACUACCACAAGAUUAGGGAAAUAACCCCUAGAUCAAGAACCCCUUGUAACUGGAAACCAUCUGAACACAUGUCUUUCAAAAGACUAAGCCAACCACAAUCCUAAGUGUAGGAUACCCUUUCUGAGGAAAUAAAUAACCUUUUGCAAAAACCUAUGUGAGUCUUCAAUUUGCUCCAUGAUUAUUGAUCCCAUGCUUUGUAUAUGCUUAUUUGAUGAAUGAACGCAGGAUGCAUUAUAUGACCUAAUGGGAGGUAUGUACAUGAUAUUGUGAAAUGCAUAAGCCUAAGCCAGAUAACAUUAAAAGGGGUAGGACAAAUUUGGGGUAUGACAUUAGUCUACUUACCGUUAAGUCAACUUGAUAUUAUAUUGGGGAUGAAUUGGUUGGAGUUCAACCACGUUGAUAUCAACUGUUAUAAUAAGUCAGUACUAUUUCCUGAGUUAGCUGAAGAUGAAGAUUCGAAGUUUUUAAAUGCUAAUCAAGGAGGCAUUUUGUAAAAGAUGAAGCUCAAGUGUUUGUGAUGUUCACUUCUUUGAAGGGUGAGACUGAAGUUGUGAUUGUUAAUUUGCUUGUAAUUUGUGAGUUUUCAUAUGUGUUUCCUGACGACAUCAAUGAUUUUCUAUCAGAGAGAGAUUGAGUUUGCCAAAGAUUUAGUAUUAGACCCGUGUCGAUGACACCUUAUAGAAUGUCGGCUGCAGAACUAUGUGAGCUGAAGAAUCGGUUAGAAGAUUUUCUUGAAAAUAAGUUUGUCAAACUAAGUGUAUCAUCG